GAAUGAAGCAAAUUGCAUUGUCUUAUCCUCAGACACAUGACGUAAAUGAAAAAAAUUCCAGUACAAUCAAAACUUUCCUUAACAAGAAGGAAACAUAGACCAUCCAAAUGAUUGGGAUGAACACUUAUCUGCUAUAGCCUAUGCUUUCAAUUUGACACAUUUGGAGCCAAAUCAAAACACUCCAUAUUUCCAAAUGUUCAGCCAUAAUCCACGUGUUGUUGAGCCCAUGAAUAUAUUGUGUGGAAGGAGAAUACAGUAGUUUUGCCAAAAUAUUUGAAGCAACUAAAAAAUUCAGUCAAGCGCUGGAAGAAGACAAAACCUCAGGUUGCCAGAUAAAAAAACUCCAGAUGGAAAAAAAAAAAUCAGAACCAAAAUUACAGUAAAAAAGGAAGUCAAAACAAUUAAAUACUCUUUAACUUAAAGUUGAUCAUGAAGUCCUCAGGCAAAGAAAAAACUGGUGGAAAGAUGGGCGUUUCCAGUCGGAAUGGAUUGGUCCUUGUAUAAUGGAUUACAUCACAGAAAAUUGGCUGUGCAAUAUUAAGAGAUUCUACAGGAUCCAGGCUGAAAAGACCCAUCAAGAUGUCUCACCUCAAGCCAUAUGCAACCAUGACAUUCUACAAGGUGCAGUAGUUUUUGACCAUGACUGUAUUGGCUUAUCUGGAAGAACUAAUAAUUCAAGCCAAGCAGACUCUUCUGCUGAGAAAGAAAUAAAUGCCUACAAAAGAGAUGUCGUGUCUGCUGUACAGAUUCCACCUGCAGCCUGCAAAGACCAAGAAUCAGCAGAUGGUAAACUUGAGUCUGAGCUGAGAGAAGACCAUUGCAUUGAACCAAACAUUACAAAGCCAGAGCAAUGGCCAUCACCUUGUUGGACACUUCAGACAAAGACAGAGGAUAUUAAGCAUAGUCUUCUAUCACAUUUCAUUGCCAAGCAGUUUGGAACCACUGUGGCAAACUGAAAAAAAAAAAUUAAUAGCUCCAACCUCCUUAGCCCAAUCCACUUUACUCCUUUAUGAAUGUAAGAGUGCUUUAGGUAUCUAAUUUGUCUGGGUGUUAAGAAAAAGCCCUAGUAAAAGCACAUAUUCUGAUCAUGCAUUUUCAAUUCCAGAUUUUGUUGGUAGAAUGGCAAUGUGGCCAUGCCUUACUGUUAUCCUCUGAGGACACAAUGCAUCAUUUCAUUGUAACGACCUUUUCCAUUUAAUCCUUGGAUGCCUUAUUCCUAAUGUGCACUGUGAGAUGAAUUAAACCUAAGCAAGUUGGUGUAAAUUUUUCCUCCACUACAGAGAAGCUCAUGUCUUCCUUUUCCUGUUAUAUAACAGUUUUCUAUUCAUUUUUGAGAACCUGCAGCAUCUGACUUGUACAACUUUUAAUUUCUAAUCUAAUCCAUUUAAGAUCUCACAAAACAACAAAACUGCCAAAAUCAAAUAUAUGCAGUGUUCUAUGCAUGAAACAAUGAGGGCUUCAGCUGUUCCCUGCUCAUCAAAAGUCUACCAGUGUAGGCAGUUUUAAUAUUUCAGGCAUGUGAAAAACCCUUAAGAGCAUUUAAUAUUAAAAUGUGGUUUUUCCGCAAACAUCUGGUUUCUCCAUUACAGUUACCUCUUCACUGAGCCUGUGCAUGCUGGGAGAUUUUCCAUGGACAGGGGGCUAUGAAACAUGAAGCAGUGGUAUUAACUUAUUCUCUGAUUUCCUUGAGUAAGUUGUUGGUGGUCUGGAAUUCCUGCCGAGAAGACUUUCUCAAAGUCAGC
rnacentral:lncRNA from 14 species